rnacentral:rRNA from 1 species
GACGAACGCUGGCGGCGUGCUUAACACAUGCAAGUCGAACGAUGAAGCCGGAGCUUGCUCUGGUGAAUUAGUGGCGAACGGGUGAGUAACACGUGAGUAACCUGCCCUUGACUCUGGGAUAACUGCGGGGAACUGUAGCUAAUACCGGAUACGACCCUCGGAGGCAUCUCCUGGGGGUGGAAAGAAUUUCGGUCAAGGAUGGACUCGCGGCCUAUCAGCUAGUUGGUGAGGUAAAGGCUCACCAAGGCGACGACGGGUAGCCGGCCUGAGAGGGUGACCGGCCGCACUGGGACUGAGACACGGCCCAGACUCCUACGGGAGGCAGCAGUGGGGAAUAUUGCACAAUGGGCGCAAGCCUGAUGCAGCAACGCCGCGUGAGGGAUGACGGCCUUCGGGUUGUAAACCUCUUUUAGCAGGGAAGAAGCGAAAGUGACGGUACCUGCAGAAAAAGCACCGGCUAACUACGUGCCAGCCGCCGCGGUAA